GUGCCCGUAGCUCAGAUGGAUAGAGCACGACGUUGCGGACGUCGGGGUCGAAGGUUCGAAUCCCUCCGGGCACA
rnacentral:tRNA from 1 species